rnacentral:rRNA from 1 species
CAAUAGCGUAUAUUAAAGUUGUUGCGGUUAAAAAGCUCGUAGUUGGAUUUCUGCCGAGGACGACCGGUCCGCCCUCCGGGUGAGUAUCUGGUUUGGCCUGGGCAUCUUCUUGGAGAACGUAGCUGCACUUGACUGUGUGGUGCGGUGUCCAGGACUUUUACUUUGAGGAAAUUAGAGUGUUUCAAGCAGGCACACGCCUUGAAUACAUUAGCAUGGAAUAAUAAGAUAGGACCUCGGUUCUAUUUUGUUGGUUUCUAGAGCUGAGGUAAUGAUUAAUAGGGAUAGUUGGGGGCAUUCGUAUUUAACUGCCAGAGGUGAAAUUCUUGGAUUUGUUAAAGACGGACUACUGCGAAAGCAUUUGCCAAGGAUGUUUUCAUUGA